CUCCAAGACAGGAAAAGGAUUAUGUAGAUGAUGGAGAAGUAAGAGAGCCAGAAGAAGAGUAGGACAUUGGUAGGACUCAAAGAGACGGGGGUCCUGGAUACAUUUUCCUGAGCUAGUCCAGAGAGGAAGCAAAACCCCAGGAUUUCCAAGACAAGAAUACUGGAGUGGGUUGCCAUGCCCUCCUCCAGAUGAUCUUCCUGACCCAGGGAUCGAACCCACAUCUCCUGCGUCUCCUGCAUAGCAGGCAGAUUCUUUACCCUCUGAGCCACACAAAUCAAAACUACAGUGUGGUAUCACUUCACACAAGUCAGAAAGUGUUCAGCACACAGCACUGCGCUGUGCUAUGUCUCUUCAGUCAUGUCCGACUCUUUGUGACCCCAUGGACUAUAGCCAGCCAGGCUCCUCUGGCCAUGGAAUUCUCCAAGACAAGAAUACUGGAGUGGGUUGUCAUUUCCUAAUCCAGGGGAUGUUACCAACAAAAGAAUCAAACCUGGGUUUCUUACGUCUCCUGCAUUGGUAGGUGGGUCCUUUACCACUAGCACCACCUGGGAAGUCCCACCAGUCAGAAUGGCCAUCAU
ensembl:lncRNA